rnacentral:rRNA from 1 species
AGGCAGGCGGUUAGGAAAGUUGGAUGUGAAAGCUCCUGGCUUAACUGGGAGAGGUCGUUCAAAACUACCUGACUAGAGAUUGGGAGAGGGAGGUGGAAUUCCGGGUGUAGUGGUGAAAUGCGUAGAUAUCCGGAGGAACACCAGUGGCGAAAGCGGCCUCCUGGCCCAAGACUGACGCUCAGACGCGAAAGCUAGGGUAGCAAACG